GCCGGGCUUGGUGGCGCACGCCUGUAGUCCAGCUGCGUGGGAGGCUGAGGUGGGAGGAUCACCUGAGCUCAGGAGGUGUAGGCUGCAGUGAGCCGUGAUUGUACCACCGCACUCCAGCCUGGGCAACAGAGUAAGACCCCAUCUCAA
rnacentral:sRNA from 1 species